CACACCUGGCUGCAAUGUUAGCUCAUUAGCAGAGCUCUGUGAAGCCUGACUGCAUGCUAGUGAGAAAGUUUGGCCAUUUUAUUCAAGUGUGUAGAACAAGGGACACAGCCAAAGAGUUGCAGGUCACUGGACCUUUAGGAACACAGUUUUAACCCACUGCUUUAAAUGUCUCUCUGCGUCAAAAGACAUGCAUCACAUAAUUAGGUCAUUUGCAGGAUUCUGCAGAACUUGAGUGCAUAAGGAGUUAAUUCAGUCAUAUUUCAGGCUGUAUGAAGCAAAAAGCAAGAUGGAUGAUAUCUGCGCUUGAGGACUGGAGUUUGACACCCAUGAUCUGCAGAAUAAGGAUUACAAACUAUGGAGACAAACACAUAAAACUGAAAAGAUGAUCAGACCUACCACGCCGUUGACAGACAGCAGCUGGUCCCCUCGUUUCAGACCGCCGUGUCUCUCAGCCACGCCUCCAGGAAUGAUGCGGGAGAUGUAGAUAGGGCGGUGUGACAUGAGUAAGGUCAUCAGCAAAAGGAGAAAUCCUCCCACAGUGGUGCUGACUCACCUCUCUGAUUGCUGUGCAGAACUCGCUCUGCAGAACCUUCUUCAGAGACUGCAGCUUAUGGCCGGGAACAUCUCCUGAUUCCUGCAGCUUCUCCAGCAGCUCAAUCGCCCGGGCAACAUCUGGCAGGAGGAGGAACACAGAAUUGGUAUAAUUGAGCAUAUAUGUGUGUGGGCACUCAUAGCAAGAGGGGGAGUUAAAAAAAAAAAAAAAGUAAAUUACAUUAACAGCACAGCAAUGACAAAGGCGCUGGAGCAAAUCAAUGGAUGCUAUAAUAGAAAUAGACUCUUUCAAGGCCACCAGUUGCAAGGAUGAUGGAGUAGGAAUGAAAUCUGAAUCAUUUGCAUUGACUGAGGUUUAUUCACAAAAUAACAGGGAGCAGAACAAAGUAAAGGCUUUUAUUUAAAUUGAACUCUUCCUGAAAAUUGUGAGGCUACUUCUUCGUUCUACUGUGCCUACUGAUGUAGCCUGACAGCCUGAUUUACUUUGGUUAAAGAAAAAACGGAUGAAGAUUAGAAAGAAAUCACGAACAAUUAAAUGCAAAUCGCAAAACAUGAUAAGCAAGAUAAAUGACAGUGAGCUGAAUAGGUACACUGACCCAAACCUUCGCCACCUUCGCUCAGACUUUCAAAACCCUUAAUGAGGCUAAAUCUUAGAAAUCUUUCAUCGCAUUAUCUGCUAAUUAACUAAAAAUAUAGUAAUAGUGUUGAAGUUUCCCAGCGAGUUCAACACUUCUUUUGCUUUUAAUUAAGCAGUCAACACACGUUGGAUUGUCCAUUUUCUCCUCCUACUGAAAGGGGACAAAAUUGGUGAAGGGAUGAACUCAGAGACCAUUACCACUUUGGUCCUGGAAACGCUAACCUUAAUUCAAUUAAAUGAGCAGAUCUGCUGCAUUAUUAUGAUCCUACGUGGGUUUGAGUUUUGCUUUUUAUUUGUGUUUUGAUUUUUUUCUUGUUUAUUUAUAUUCUAUAGUUCUAUGCGUGGCUCUGGGUGUAGAAUCUCAAGCUUUGAACUCCUCUCUCAAGAAAAUAACCAUAACUAUAAAAAAUUUGUAGCAUAGAUUUUUUUUUCUUUCUUAAAAACAAAUACUCUUAAGAAACUAAUUUCUGUUUAAAACUGUUAUCACCAGUUUUACAUGGAUUUCUGUUUAUCAGGCAAUAUAAAGUCACUAGCUCAUGAUGCAUCUGACUAACUUGCAUAAAUCACCUUUGCAACCUGCAGAAUACACACACAACAGAGAGAAAACCGUUUAACUGUCCUUCCCUCUUGUAUUUUUCUGUGUUUUGGUUUAACAAACUCUGACUGACUUUCAGUAGAUAUAUGAAUAAAAUUGAGUUGCUGAGCAGAGGAUCUGUCCAGUACAAAACAGUCUA